rnacentral:misc_RNA from 1 species
AAAACCAUCAAGCCUGGCUUGGUCUUGGGCGCGGUCUCAGGACCCGCCCGCAACCCGUCGGCGGUGCCGGCCCGGCCCUGAGCGUAGCAAGACUCUCGCUCGGGGGCCGCGGCGGCGCCAGCCGAGAGCACACACCUCAAGUU